rnacentral:rRNA from 1 species
CCUACGGGCGGCUGCAGUGGGGAAUAUUGGACAAUGGGCGAAAGCCUGAUCCAGCCAUGCCGCGUGUGUGAAGAAGGCCUUCGGGUUGUAAAGCACUUUCAGUGGGGAAGAAAGCCUUGGGUCUAAUACCCUCGAGGAAGGACAUCACCCACAGAAGAAGCACCGGCUAACUCCGUGCCAGCAGCCGCGGUAAUACGGAGGGUGCGAGCGUUAAUCGGAAUUACUGGGCGUAAAGCGCGCGUAGGCGGUCUGAUAAGCCGGUUGUGAAAGCCCCGGGCUCAACCUGGGAACGGCAUCCGGAACUGUCAGGCUAGAGUGAAGGAGAGGAAGGUAGAAUUCCCGGUGUAGCGGUGAAAUGCGUAGAGAUCGGGAGGAAUACCAGUGGCGAAGGCGGCCUUCUGGACUGACACUGACGCUGAGGUGCGAAAGCGUGGGUAGCAAACAGGAUUAGAUACCCCGGUAGUC